ensembl:lncRNA
AAAUGUUCCCACACAUUCUAGUUUCUGUCUAGCUCUGUGGCCUGAUUGCUGGCUGCACUAAACCUGAGCUUUAAGGCCAUGGAAAUAUAUGAAAUACCUUUUGUAUUAAGGUACAGUAAUGUCUAUAAUGCAGCAACUAAUAAAGUCAAAAGCUAAUGAAAACAUUAUCUCAGGAAGACGCUCUGGUUUCAUUUGUUGUGUAUCUUUUGUAGCCCUGCGGAUAUGCAGAGAAAUGAAGAGCUGCCCUGCUUAAGUUCCCAAAAAAACCACAGGUGGUCUACAGAGACAAUCGUCUGGCUUUUGCAAAACCUGGAAUUUGCUGUAGGGUGUUUAACAAACACCGUGCGUUUCCUCAAUAAAAGGAGCAAUGCAGUCAAGUAAGACCAGGAGCAUUCACAGCAUUCUGAAAAAAUGAACUGAGAGAAGAGGACAGUCAACACUGUAAGUGGAGCCUGCAGUCAAAUGCCUUGCUCAAUGACACAUUGCUCAAUAGUGAUGCCACAAACACUAACAGAGUUUAACAGCUUUUCAUAUUUACACCCUCUUAGUUUAACCAAAACACAGACAAACUAACUGUUAGUAAAUCCUUGAAGAGGAAUUACAAUCCAUGGAUGCUUUUAAAGGGAUUUCAAUUGAGUUAAGCUUGCCAGACAUAACUUAACCUGUCAGCUUUUUUUCAGGCUCAAGUACAGGGUAAAAUCUAUUUGCAAUCAAAUUUAAAAAGAAAUAUGAGCUUGACAAUCAAAAUGCAUAAUUUUCAUACAAAGAAAUACACUCUAUAUAAGAUUGUUCUAAAUGUAGAUAAAAGUUUUCCUCUUCAUCUGUUGGUCAGUGAUUUUGAACAGCAGUAAUCAUUCUCUGCAUCACUCUGCCCUCUGCUGCACGAUCUGGUCAUUGCAUUUUGGAUUUGACUUUUCUGUGCUACACAAAUCCAGUGCAACUGUAAUUGGAAACUGGGUAGCAUUUUCUUUUUUUCUUUCUUUUAGCAGAAAGUUAUUGCAUGUUUCAGGUACAGUUAAGGUACUGAAAUAAACAACAUUAGUCACAAGUUUUUGAACACCAGAUUUAUGUCACAGUAGAUAAUAGAGCUUUCAUAAAAAACUUGACAAUGAAAAUAUAUAACUAUGCAUUGUGCAAACCAUAAUGAUCACAACCUCCUUUUCCAUGGCUGACAUUUAAUUAAUGUUUUUCCAGCUUCCUUUACUUUAAUCUGAUGUGCCAUUUGUCCCAGAUGAAAGAUCUAUUAUCAUACAUAUUUUAUUUAUUUCACUUGCUCUUUUAGUGCUUUUAAUAUUUGUUUAACCCUAUGAUUAUGUGGUUUCAUGAGAUAUUUGUCUUAACGUGUGAGAGUAUUUGCUACAUUUUUGCAUUUUUAUUUGAUCUUACACGCAUUAAAUAUGGUAUAUGGAAGCUCAAAUGUGCAUGCCAUUGAGGUUUGUUUUCAUAUAUCAAGCACAUCCGUUUCAGCUUUGUUUAUAACUUUCAUCAGGUAAAUUUCUGGCUUCAAAAUUCCUUUAACAUCAGAUAUGAGAAAAAUUAAGGUAGCUAAUUUUAUUCACUAUUUAUUCAUUUUAUUUAAUUUUUUCUGUUUUGAUGUAGCCAUUAGCUGUCUGUGAAUUAUAUUAGCUAAAUGCUCAAAUAUCAAAAGUGCAGUCAAACUACAAAUUAUAACAAAAGAAGAAAAAUAGCAAUAGUAAAUGAAAUAACUACUCUUAACAGCAAAUAAAAAUCUAAACAACAGAAAUAGAAACAAGCUAUUAAGCAAACACUUGCGUGCUACUGCCUACCUGACUCUGCAUGAGAGAUAAGAUAUACUUACCUGAGAGGAAAAUAUAUAACUGUAUUCUUGAAAACAAUAUUGGAUUUCUGGAUAAAAUAUUAGUCAAUUAUCAAAGAAAGAGAAAAUAACCAUGAUAUGGACUAUUUUAGCUGCUGAAUAGUUCAACCCUUCGCUGGCUGUGCUGAUUUAAAACUAGCAGUUUUGUUGUGUUGGUGUCACAGUUCAGUGUUCAGUUCAGUGGCGCAGGUAGUGACGAUUCUCUCUGGCCAAUCGGUGAUCAGCAGAGUUUACACGUCGUGUUUUGGUAAAGGUACUGUUCCCAUGGAACCUCUACCAUGUACUGUACCCAGUGGAAAACCCCCCAAAAGU